UACGGAGGGGGCUAGCGUUGUUCGGAAUUACUGGGCGUAAAGCGCACGUAGGCGGAUUGUUAAGUCAGGGGUGAAAUCCUGGAGCUCAACUCCAGAACUGCCUUUGAUACUGGGGAUCUCGAGUCCGGGAGAGGUGAGUGGAAUUCCUGGUGUAGCGGUGAAAUGCGCAGAUAUCAGGAGGAACACCAAUGGCGAAGGCAGCUCGCUGGGACGUGACUGACGCUGAGGAGCGAAAGCGUGGGGAGCAAACAGG
rnacentral:rRNA from 1 species